rnacentral:misc_RNA from 1 species
AAGUCGUAACAAGGUAACCGUAGGUGAACCUGCGGUUGGAUCAUUACCAAAAUCCAUCUGGGCUCGUCUCACAUGUCCGGCUUUGCUGGCAGUGAGGCAGCCCAACCCACCUCUUGUGCAAUGUCAUGUCCUUGGCGGGCCAGGUUUCCCACCCCUUUCAGGGGUGUGGGGGCCUGCUUGCAGGGGACGUUUUCUCCUGACCGUCAAGAUAUUUUCACACCCUACUCUACCCUCUUCCACCUGACGUCAUACCUGGCCUGUCUCUCUCUCAGAGGGACGUGGUUUGGGGAUAUAACGAAAAACAACUUUUGACAACGGAUCUCUUGGCUCUC